rnacentral:rRNA from 1 species
GUGAGGAAUAUUGGGCAAUGGGCGCAAGCCUGACCCAGCAACGCCGCGUGAAGGAAGACGGUCUUCGGAUUGUAAACUUCUUUUGUCAGGGACGAAUAAUGACGGUACCUGGCGAAUAAGCCACGGCUAACUACGUGCCAGCAGCCGCGGUAAUACGUAGGUGGCAAGCGUUGUCCGGAUUUACUGGGUGUAAAGGGCGAGUAGGCGGAUUUGCAAGUCAGGUGUGAAAGCCCGGGGCUUAACCCCGGGUCUGCAUUUGAAACUGCGGAUCUUGAGUAUCGGAGAGGCAGGCGGAAUUCCCGGUGUAGCGGUGGAAUGCGUAGAUAUCGGGAGGAACACCAGUGGCGAAGGCGGUUCUCUGGACCUUUCCUGACGCUGAGAAGCGAAAGCGUGGGGAGCAAACAGGCUUAGAUACCCUGGUAGUCC